rnacentral:rRNA from 1 species
ACACGACUACAUUAGAUACCCGUGUAGUCCCAGCCCUAAACGAUGCGCGUUAGGUGUAUCGGUGACCACGAGUCACCGAGGUGCCGAAGGGAACCGUGAAACGUGCCGCCUGGGAAGUACGGUCGCAAGGCUGAAACUUAAAGGAAUUGGCGGGGGAGCACCACAACGGGUGGAGCUUGCGGUUUAAUUGGAUUCAACGCCGGAAAUCUUACCGGGACCGACAGCAACAUGAAGGCCAGGCUGAAGACUUUGCCGGAUUAGCUG